GACGAACGCUGGCGGCGUGCUUAACACAUGCAAGUGGAGCGACGAACCGGGCUUCGGCCCGGGGCAAAGCCGCGAACGGGUGAGUAUCACGUGGGUAACCUGCCCCGAUGACCGGGACAACCCGAGGAAACUCGGGCUAAUACCGGAUGUGCUCGCAGCACUUCAGUGCAGCGAAUAAAGGAAGCUUCGGCCUCCGCAUUGGGAUGGGCCCGCGGCCCAUUAGCUUGUUGGUGAGGUAAAGGCUCACCAAGGCAACGAUGGGUAGCUGGUCUGAGAGGACGAUCAGCCACACUGGGACUGAGACACGGCCCAGACUCCUACGGGUGGCUG
rnacentral:rRNA from 1 species